rnacentral:rRNA from 1 species
UACGAAGGGGGCUAGCGUUGUUCGGAGUUACUGGGCGUAAAGGGCGUGUAGGUGGUUGCGUAAGUCUGGCGUGAAAUUUUUCGGCUUAACCGGGAAAGGUCGUCGGAUACUGCGUAACUAGAGGACGGUAGAGGCGUGUGGAAUUCCGGGUGUAGUGGUGAAAUGCGUAGAGAUCCGGAGGAACACCAGUGGCGAAGGCGACACGCUGGGCCGUACCUGACACUGAACCGCGACAGCAUGGGGAGCAAACAGG